rnacentral:rRNA from 1 species
GACGAACGCUGGCGGCGUGCUUAACACAUGCGAGUCGAGCGGUAAGGCCUUUCGGGGUACACGAGCGGCGAACGGGUGAGUAACACGUGGGUGAUCUGCCCUGCACUUCGGGAUAAGCCUGGGAAACUGGGUCUAAUACCGGAUAUGACCUCCUAUCGCAUGGUGGGUGGUGGAAAGAUUUAUCGGUGCAGGAUGGGCCCGCGGCCUAUCAGCUUGUUGGUGGGGUAUUGGCCUACCAAGGCGACGACGGGUAGCCGACCUGAGAGGGUGACCGGCCACACUGGGACUGAGACACGGCCCAGACUCCUACGGGAGGCAGCAGUGGGGAAUAUUGCACAAUGGGCGAAAGCCUGAUGCAGCGACGCCGCGUGAGGGAUGACGGCCUUCGGGUUGUAAACCUCUUUCAGCAGGGACGAAGCGCAAGUGACGGUACCUGCAGAAGAAGCACCGGCUAACUACGUG